rnacentral:rRNA from 1 species
UACAGAGGUCCCAAGCGUUGUUCGGAUUCACUGGGCUUAAAGCGCGUGUAGGCGGCCCGGCGCGUCUUUCGCUGAAAUCCCCCGGCUCAACCGGGGAAGGGGCGGGGAUACGGCCGGGCUGGAGGGGGGUAGGGGGAUCGGGAACUUCCGGUGGAGCGGUGAAAUGCGUUGAGAUCGGAAGGAACGCCCGCGGCGAAAGCGCGGUCCUGGACCCCACCUGACGCUGAGACGCGAAAGCCAGGGGAGCGAACGGG